CAGCCGCCGCGGGAAUACGAAGGGUGCAAGCGUUAAUCGGAAUUACUGGGCGUAAAGCGUGCGUAGGCGGUGAGUUAAGUCUGCUGUGAAAUCCCCGGGCUCAACCUGGGAAUGGCAGUGGAUACUGGCUCGCUAGAGUGUGUCAGAGGAUGGUGGAAUUCCCGGUGUAGCGGUGAAAUGCGUAGAGAUCGGGAGGAACAUCAGUGGCGAAGGCGGCCAUCUGGGACAACACUGACGCUGAGGCACGAAGGCGUGGGGAGCAAACAGGAUUAGAUACCCCGGUAGUCCCUGUCUCUUAUAC
rnacentral:rRNA from 1 species